rnacentral:rRNA from 1 species
CCUACGGGAUGCUGCAGUGGGGAAUAUUGGACAAUGGGCGAAAGCCUGAUCCAGCCAUGCCGCGUGUGUGAAGAAGGCCUUCGGGUUGUAAAGCACUUUCAGUGGGGAAGAAAGCCUUGGGGCUAAUACCCUCGAGGAAGGACAUCACCCACAGAAGAAGCACCGGCUAACUCCGUGCCAGCAGCCGCGGUAAUACGGAGGGUGCGAGCGUUAAUCGGAAUUACUGGGCGUAAAGCGCGCGUAGGCGGUCUGAUAAGCCGGUUGUGAAAGCCCCGGGCUCAACCUGGGAACGGCAUCCGGAACUGUCAGGCUAGAGUGCAGGAGAGGAAGGUAGAAUUCCCGGUGUAGCGGUGAAAUGCGUAGAGAUCGGGAGGAAUACCAGUGGCGAAGGCGGCCUUCUGGACUGACACUGACGCUGAGGUGCGAAAGCGUGGGUAGCAAACAGGAUUAGAUACCCUAGUAGUC